rnacentral:rRNA from 1 species
AAACUUUCAGCAACGGAUCUCUUGGCUCUGGCAUCGAUGAAGAACGCAGCGAAAUGCGAUACGUAAUGUGAAUUGCAGAAUUCAGCGAACCAUCGAAUCUUUGAACGCACAUUGCGCCCGCCAGCAUUCUGGCGGGCAUGCCUGUCCGAGCGUCAUUU